AUUGAACGCUGGCGGCAGGCCUAACACAUGCAAGUCGAGCGAGCGGCGGACGGGUGAGUAAUGUCUGGGAAACUGCCUGAUGGCGGGGGAUAACUACUGGAAACGGGAGCUAAUACCGCAUACCAUCAGAUGUGCCCAGAUGGGAUUAGCUAUGAGGUGAGGUAACGGCUCACCUAGGCGACGAUCCCUAGCUGGUCUGAGAGGGUGACCAGCCACACUGGAACUGAGACACGGUCCAGACUCCUACGGGAGGCAGCAGUGGGGAAUAUUGCACAAUGGGCGCAAGCCUGAUGGAGCCAUGCCGCGUGUGUGAAGAAGGCCUUCGGGUUGUAAAGCACUGUCAGCGGGGAGGCGUUACCCGCAGAAGAAGCACCGGCUAACUCCGUGCCAGCAGCCGCGGUAAUUC
rnacentral:rRNA from 1 species